UACGGGAGGCAGCAGUGGGGAAUAUUGCACAAUGGGCGCAAGCCUGAUGCAGCCAUGCCGCGUGUAUGAAAAAGGCCUUUCGGGUUGUAAAGUACUUUCAGUCGUGAGGAAGGUGUUAAGGUUAAUAACCUUAGCAAUUGACGUUAGCGACAGAAGAAGCACCGGCUAACUCCGUGCCAGCAGCCGCGGUAAUACGGAGGGUGCGAGCGUUAAUCGGAAUUACUGGGCGUAAAGGGCACGCAGGCGGUUAAUUAAGUUGGAUGUGAAAUCCCCGGGCUUAACCUGGGAAUGGCAUUCAAGACUGGUUAGCUAGAGUCUUGUAGAGGGGGUAGAAUUCCAUGUGUAGCGGUGAAAUGCGUAGAGAUGUGGAGGAAUACCGGUGGCGAAGGCGGCCCCUGGACAAAGACUGACGCUCGAUGUGCGAAAGCGUGGGGAGCAAACAGGGAUUAGAUACC
rnacentral:rRNA from 1 species